UUUUGCUUUCAGGGAGAACAACUGUGGAUGACCUUACUUGUCAUGGGGAGAGUGUCAAAAGCAGACUCGGGACAAAUCUGAAUCAAGUCAGCAGACCAUCAGACAUGGAGGUAAGCAUUUACGUUUCCCUGGUUGACAAAUGAAUCUGAGGCUAAAGCGACACUUGCAGACGAAAUAAAGAGGUCAUGUUGCAUCUCCAGAUGGAAGGAGACCAGAGGGCUGUUGUGUUCUAGCAGAAAUUAAUGCAAAUCCAACUAGCUGAACCAGGCAUGUCAGUUGGUAAAGAAAUGCACUUUUUUCCCCCUCUUAACAUUCAAGUGGCAAUGAAUAGAUUCUCACACUUUCAGAUGAGAGCAAUGCAGCUGAUUUGAACGUUGAGGAUGUGAAAACUUCAGGAAGUUGCUAGAAGAACUGGGAUAUCUACAGAAAGGAAACAAGCAAAACUCAUCACUGCUACCAAGAGGUGAAGGAAGUGAAUCUAUCCUUUGCUAUCAAAGGCUACAAGCAGUUUCAUAAGAAUAAAGCAAGAUACAUAACCAAAGCUUCUGAGGUUACAGAAGUAUUGACUUGUUCCAAUCAAGAAUAAGGAAACCACUUAUACCUACUAGAUUUUUAACAGUACAGCUGAUCGUAUGGAGAGAAAGAGAGAAAUAAAGCAACAGGAUUGGCUCUUAGGAGCGGUAAGCAACAUUUGAUGAAGGAAACAGGCAGCGUGGACAGUAUUCAAGACACAAUGUUUAAAAGUUGCUGCUGGGAUGGAAGCAAAGAAGAAAGCCCUGGAGACGGGUUAGUGCUGGGACACAGGCACUAUCCUGGAGGGGCCUGGGACAGGGUGUUUAACCAUAGUGACCAGUGGGUCCUUUCCCCACUGUGGUCCUGGCUCGCAUGCACAGGGUGAAACCGAUCGCCAUGUCUGGGGUCAGGAAGGAAUUUUCCUCCAGGGCAGAUUGGCCAGAGACCCUGGAGGUUUUUCGCCUUCCUCUGGGGCAUCGAGCAGGGACCAGCCCUUAGGGCCAUUUAGGAACAGACAUAAUAAAAUCAAUCAGAGAGAACUUGUC